rnacentral:rRNA from 1 species
GAUGAACGCUGGCGGCGUGCCUAAUACAUGCAAGUCGAGCGAACGGACGAGAAGCUUGCUUCUCUGAUGUUAGCGGCGGAAGGGUGAGUAACACGUGGAUAACCUACCUAUAAGACUGGGAUAACUUCGGGAAACCGGAGCUAAUACCGGAUGAUAUUUUGAACCGCAUGGUUCAAAAGUGAAAGACGGUCUUGCUGUCACUUAUAGAUGGAUCCGCGCUGGAUUAGCUAGUUGGUAAGGUAACGGCUUACCAAGGCAACGAUGCAUAGCCGACCUGAGAGGGUGAUCGGCCACACUGGAACUGAGACACGGUCCAGACUCCUACGAGAGGCAGCAGUAGGGAAUCUUCCGCAAUGGGCGAAAGCCUGACGGAGCAACGCCGCGUGAGUGAUGCAGGUCUUCGGCUCGUAAAACUCUGUUAUUAGGGAAGCACAUAUGUGUAAGUAACUGUGCACAUCUUGACGGUACCUAAUCAGAAAGCCACGGCUAACUACGUG